ACUAGCUGAGAGGAGGUGCAUGGCCGUCGUCAGUUCGUACUGUGAAGCAUCCUGUUAAGUCAGGCAACGAGCGAGACCCACGCCAACAGUUGCCAGCUCGUCCUCCGGGAUGGUGGGGACACUGUUGGGACCGCCUCUGCGUAAAGAGGAGGAAGGAAUGGGCAACGGUAGGUCAGCAUGCCCCGAAUUAUCCGGGCUACACGCGGGCUACAAUGGUCAGGACAAUGGGUAUCGACACCGAGAGGUGGAGGCAAUCUCCUAAACCUGUCCUUAGUUCGGAUUGUGGGCUGCAACUCGCCCACAUGAAGCUGGAAUCCGUAGUAAUCGCGUUUCAAAAUAGCGCGGUGAAUAUGUCCCUGCUCCUU
rnacentral:rRNA from 1 species